rnacentral:lncRNA from 1 species
GCAAUGAUCUUAAGCAGCACAGCAUAGACUUACAAGAUCACACACUACAGCAGUGUAUUACAGUCAACCGUCUAUUGGUAUUUAAGGUGGCUGCAGAUUAAGAGGGGCGAUUCAUGGUGUAGCAUGACACAAGUUGGAGACUAAUCACCCAGGUGACGGUGUCUGAUGAUCUUAGACCUGAAACACCCGAAGGUUCAUCAUUGAUGAUGUGUCACACUGCCUGUAGUAUUAAAGAAGAUACACAUCCCUGUACAAAUCCAUGCGAAGGCUGCAUUUGUCCUACAGGUCACCUCGCGAACCACUAACCCAAACCCAACCAACAGUGUCUUCAAAAGCAAAGGUUAUAGAACUGUGCACUGCAACCAUGUACUGUGAUUUUACAUUUAUAUUAUACUAUCUGGCCUCAUUUGCACCAUUAUAUCCUCCUGGACAAAACUUCUGUCCUGUAACUUGGGUGGCACCUUUUUAAGGUACAUGUUUGUUCCUGGCUGCUUAAAAGGUACAUAUUAACACCUAAAAAGUACCUCACAGUAACUUAAAGAUACAAAAGUCAACUUAAAAAUGCAAAAGUAAACCGUAAAGGUACAAAAGUAUACCCUAAAGCAGGGGGCUAUAACUGAUCUCAUUCCUGGAGGUCCGGUGCUCUACAGGGUUUAGCUUCAACUUGCCUCAACACACCUGCCUCGGUGUUUCAAGUAUACCUAGUAAGACCUUGAUUAG